rnacentral:rRNA from 1 species
UACAGAGGUCUCAAGCGUUGUUCGGAUUCAUUGGGCGUAAAGGGUGCGUAGGCGGCGCGGUAAGUCGGGUGUGAAAUCUCGGAGCUUAACUCCGAAACUGCAUUCGAUACUGCCGUGCUUGAGGACUGGAGAGGAGACUGGAAUUCCUGGUGUAGCGGUGAAAUGCGCAGAUAUCAGGAGGAACACCGGUGGCGAAGGCGGCUCUCUGGGACGGUACUGACGCUGAGACGCGAAAGCGUGGGGAGCGAACAGG